CCCUUAGAUGUUCUGGGCCGCACGCGCGCUACACUGAUGCAUUCAACGAGCCUAUCCUUGACCGACAGGUCCGGGUAAUCUUUGAAUCUGCAUCGUGACGGGGAUAGAUUAUUGCAAUUAUUAAUCUUCAACGAGGAAUGCCUAGUAGGCGCAAGUCAUCAGCUUGCGUCGAUUACGUCCCUGCCCUUUGUACACACCGCCCGUCGCUCCUACCGAUUGGGUGUGCUGGUGAAAUGUUCGGAUCGGCCGUUUGUCGCGGUUUCCGCGCCAUGUGGCUGAGAAGUUCAUUAAACCCUCCCACCGAGAGGAAGGAGAAGUCGUAACA
rnacentral:rRNA from 1 species